AAAAAAAAAGAGGUGACAAAGAGAAUUAAGGAUGGUGUGUAUGAGUAAAUAAUCAUUGGGCCUUGGAUUAUGGAAUGGGUUAAAUCCGAUUUAAAUUGAAGCAAACAGACGGGAAAAUAGGAAGUUUCAUCCCUCAUUACUCUCGGUCUCUCUUCUCACCUCUCUUUUUCAGGCGGUCAGAAAUCGCUCCUCCGCAUCGGGAAUCGUCCUUGGCGGUGGUGGAGGGCCAAAUAUCUUAUUCCCACGCCAUCUUCUUCAUCUUAUUCCCAUUCAUCCUCCUUUAUCCUUUAAUUUCUCUAAAUCUCAUCAUAAACGUUAGUUUUACCCUACAAAAGUUUGAACCGUAAAUAACUCAAACUGAAAUUAAAUCCAUCUCAAGCAAAGAUCGACCAAAAAAUCAUGGGGGUUUUAACCUAUGCUCUACAAGUUAUAAACAAGUAUAAAGAAAAAAUGGAAUAGAUGAAGAAAUGGUGAUCACAAGUUUACCUAUAGAAUUGAGGGGUGUUCUAGUAGUUAUUUUAGUGAAGAGCUUGAAGAAUAUGCUGAAGAAACCCAAAGAGAAACUUCAAUAUUAGGUACUACAGGCUGGCUGGUACAUGGUGUGCAUGUUGACUGGUAGGUUUGGAGGUACAUUUUGGUGGUUGGACAUGGUACAUAGCAUACAUGGAGGUUUUGCAACAUGAAGGCAACAUUGAAGGCAUGGUGAAACUGAAGAUUAGAGAAAAUAGGCUUAGGAUAAGUGUGGUCAGGCUUUGGUCAACUGUUUGACCAAAAAGUCAACAGGUGACCAAAAGUCAAUUGUGGGUCAAACAUUGACUUUCCAGGUAGUUUUCAAUUAUGCAAUGUGUUUUUUUUGGUAAUUUUGAAUAUUGAGAUGUACUCUUAAAAUACAGUCUUGACUUGCGCCUUGUACUUCAAAUAAUAAAAUACUUUGCCUUUUCCCUUGAA